rnacentral:rRNA from 1 species
CCUAAUACAUGCAAGUAGAACGCUGAAAUCUGGUGCUUGCACCGGAUGGAUGAGUUGCGAACGGGUUGAGUAACGCGUAGGUAACCUACCUCAUAGCGGGGGAUAACUAUUGGAAACGAUAGCUAAUACCGCAUAACAGUCUUUAACUCAUGUUAGAGGCUUGAAAGGGGCAAUUGCUUCACUAUGAGAUGGACCUGCGUUGUAUUAGCUAGUUGGUGAGGUAACGGCUCACCAAGGCGACGAUACAUAGCCGACCUGAGAGGGUGAUCGGCCACACUGGGACUGAGACACGGCCCAGACUCCUACGGGAGGCAGCAGUAGGGAAUCUUCGGCAAUGGGGGCAACCCUGACCGAGCAACGCCGCGUGAGUGAAGAAGGUUUUCGGAUCGUAAAGCUCUGUUGUAAGAGAAGAACGUGUGUGAGAGUGGAAAGUUCACACAGUGACGGUAUCUUACCAGAAAGGGACGGCUAACUACGUGCCAGCAGCCGCGGUAAUACGUAGGUCCCGAGCGUUGUCCGGAUUUAUUGGGCGUAAAGCGAGCGCAGGCGGUUUGAUAAGUCUGAAGUUAAAGGCUGUGGCUCAACCAUAGUACGCUUUGGAAACUGUCAAACUUGAGUGCAGAAGGGGAGAGUGGAAUUCCAUGUGUAGCGGUGAAAUGCGUAGAUAUAUGGAGGAACACCGGUGGCGAAAGCGGCUCUCUGGUCUGUAACUGACGCUGAGGCUCGAAAGCGUGGGUAGCGAACAGGAUUAGAUACCCUGGUAGUCCACGCCGUAAACGAUGAGUGCUAGGUGUUAGGCCCUUUCCGGCGCUUAGUGCCGCAGCUAACGCAUUAAGCACUCCGCCUGGCGAGUACGACCGCAAGGUUGAAACUCAGAGGAAUUGACGGGUGCCCGCACAAGCGGUGGAGCAUGUGGUUUAAUUCGAAGCAACGCGAAGAACCUUACCAGGUCUUGACAUCCCGAUGCCCGCUCUAGAGAUAGAGUUUUACUUCGGUACAUCGGUGACAGGUGGUGCAUGGUUGUCGUCAGCUCGUGUCGUGAGAUGUUGGGUUAAGUCCCGCAACGAGCGCAACCCCUAUUGUUAGUUGCCAUCAUUCAGUUGGGCACUCUAGCGAGACUGCCGGUAAUAAACCGGAAGAAGGUGGGGAUGACGUCAAAUCAUCAUGCCCCUUAUGACCUGGGCUACACACGUGCUACAAUGGCUGGUACAACGAGUCGCAAGUCGGUGACGACAAGCUAAUCUCUUAAAGCCAGUCUCAGUUCGGAUUGUAGGCUGCAACUCGCCUACAUGAAGUCGGAAUCGCUAGUAAUCGCGGAUCAGCACGCCGCGGUGAAUACGUUCCCGGGCCUUGUACACACCGCCCGUCACACCACGAGAGUUUGUAACACCCGAAGUCGGUGAGGUAACCUUUUAGGAGCCAGCCGCCUAAGGUGGAAGAA